CCUCUCCCAGCUCUGCUUAAUCAUACUCAGUGUGUGGUUGGUAUAUUUUUAAAGAGAGAGAGAGGAAGGCCCUCCUAAUGAACGACAGACCAGCCCCAAGUGGUCUCUCUGUUCCUCAGAGUGCAACAGUU
ensembl:snoRNA